UUUAGUCAGGCAACGAGCGAGACCCGUACCCACAGUUGCCAGCGGCUGCUCCGGCAGGCUGGGUACACUAUGGGGACCGCCUCUGCUAAAGAGGAGGAAGGAGCGGGCGACGGUAGGUCAGUAUGCCCCGAAUUCUCCGGGCUACACGCGGGCUACAAUGGAUGGGACAAUGGGCUCCGACACCGAAAGGUGAAGGCAAUCUCUUAAACCCAUUCUUAGUUCGGAUUGAGGGCUGAAACUCGCCCUCAUGAAGCUGGAAUCCGUAGUAAUCGCGUUUCAACAUAGCGCGGUGAAUACGUCCCUGCUCCUUGCACA
rnacentral:rRNA from 1 species